CCUAGACCCUCUGUUGAGACCUAGACCAUCUGAUGAGACCUAGACCCUCUGAUGAGACCCAGACCCUCUGAUGAGACCUAGACCCUCUGAUGAGACCUAGACCCUUUGAAGAGACCUAGCGCCCGUGACAGCAGGCCUCCAAGUCCGGGUCCCCAUCUUCCAGACCAGGACCAGCAGGUGGUGCUACUGAGGCUGGGUCUCUGUGGGAAGGGGGGCCCUCUGUCCCUGGGUCCCGGUGGGUAGGGAGCCCCUGGGUGGCCCCGCAGCAGUACCAGGCGGAAGGCCCCCAGCCGGUCCGGGUCCAGACCCUGGAGGCCCUGUAGGAGCCAGGGGGGUCCGCCCGGGUCCAGACCAGCAGGGGGCCUGGGGGCGUCACGUGGGUCCCGGGGCCGGUGGGGUAGACCCUCCAGGAUAUGAGGACCGGCCCCGCCCGGAGCGCCGACACCAAACAAACCAGGACCCCCUCCUGGGGCCCGGCAAGGACCCGGACCUCUGGGGGGCCGGCGGGGGGGGCUGGAGUCCAGAGAGAAAGACCCAAACUGUAGAGUACGCAGUACUCAGGAAGUACUGCGUACUCUGAAUACUGAGUUUGCAGUAUACGCAGUACUCAGGAAAGUACUGCGUACACUGGAUACUGAGUAUGGAUAUAUGAAGUACUCAGUAAAGUACUGCGUACUCUGCAUACUGAGUAUGCAGUAUAUGCAUAAUCAGUUUGCAGUAUACACAGUACUUUCCUGAGUACUGCGUAUACUGCAUACUGAGUAUGCAGUGUACGCAGUACUCAGCAUGCAGUAUACGCAGUACACGCAGUACUCAGUGAAGUGGAGGGCUGGUCUCACCGUGGACUAGGAGGAGGACCUCGGGACUGAAGACCACGCUCUGCAGACCCCGAGCACCGCCCGUCAGCAGCCUGCAGGACACGAGAGGGGCUCACACCGUACUCACAUGGUAUUGACAUGGUACUUGGGUAGUAACAUUGUACUAACAUGGUACUACGGCACUAACAUAGUACUAACGUGGUACUACAGUACUAACAUUGGUAUUAACAUGAUACUAACAUGGUACUAUGGGGCUAACAUUGGUCCUAAUAUGGUACUUACAUGGUACUACGGUACUUACAUGCACUAAGGUGCUAACAUGGUACUAACAUUGGUACUACAGAACUAACAUUGGUACUGACAUGAUACAAACAUGGUACUAUGGUACUAACAUGGUACUAUGGUACUAAUAUGGUAUUAACAUUGGUACUAUAGUACUAACAUUGGUACUUACAUGGUACUAUGGUACUAACAUGGUACUACAGUACUAAAAACUUACUAUGGUACUAACAUUGAAGUAACAUGGUACUACAGUACUAACAUGAUACUAUGGUACUAACACGGUACUAACAUGGUAACAGGGUACUAACAUGCUACUAACAUUCUACUACCAUGGUACCAACAUGGUACUAACAUGGCACUACAGUAAUCACAUGGUACUAACAUGGUACAUACAUGGUACUAUGGUACGUACAUGAUAUUUACAUGGUACUACUGUGGUGAGUACCAUGUAUUAACAUGGCACUCAUAUGUUAUUUACAGCUGGAACUAACAUGGAACUCAGAUGGUAUUGACAUUGAACUAUGAUAUUAACAUGGUACUAUGUUACAGGAUACUCACAUUGUAUUAACGUGGUACUCACUUGGUUCUCAAGUGUUAUUGACAGGGGUACUACGGAACUAACAUGGUACUCACAUUGUAUUAACAAGUUACUAUAGUAUUAAAUGGUACUCACCUUGUAUUAACAUGGUACUACAUGAAAUAUGGUACAUACUAGUAUGUACUAGUGGUACAUACUAGUACCAUAUACAUACUAGCACAUACUAGUAUGUAUAUGGUACAUACUUGAAUGUAUAUGGUACAUACUAAAAGUAAUGCUUCCAUUGUGGACAGGAAGAGGAAAUGACUCUAGAUGGGGAAACAUGUUGUUGUCUCACCCCAGCAGGAAGAAGGUUAAACUCUGGGCCUUCAUGUUUCUCCGGGGCCUUGGUCGGGCCUGGUCACACCAAUGGUCCCAAGUAAUCUAUAGGAACACAAUCUAUAGAUCCUAUAGAAGCAGUCUAUAGAUCCUAUAGAAGCACAGUCUAUAGAUCCUAUAGAAACACAGUCAUAGAUCCUAUAGAAACACAGUCUAUAGAUCCUAUAGAAGCAGUCUAUAGAUCCUAUAGAAACAGUCUAUAGAUCCUAUAGAAGCAGUCUAUAGAUCCUAUAGAAGCACAGUCUAUAGAUCCUAUAGAAACACAGUCAUAGAUCCUAUAGAAACACAGUCUAUAGAUCCUAUAGAAGCACAGUCUAUAGAUCCUAUAGAAACACAGUCAUAGAUCCUAUAGAAACACAGUCUAUAGAUUCUAUAGAAGCAGUCUAUAGAUCCUAUAGAAACAGUCUAUAGAUCCUAUAGAAACAGUCUAUAGAUCCUAUAGAAGCAGUCUAUAGAUCCUAUAGAAGCAGUCUAUAGAUCCUAUAGAAACAGUCUAUAGAUCCUAUAGAAAACAGUCUAUAGAUCCUAUAGAAACACAGUCAUAGAUCCUAUAGAAACAGUCUAUAGAUCCUAUAGAAACAGUCUAUAGAUCCUAUAGAAACAGUCUAUAGAUCCUAUAGAAACACAGUCUAUAGAUCCUAUAGAAACAGUCUAUAGAUCCUAUAGAAGCAGUCUAUAGAUCCUAUAGAAGCACAGUCUAUAGAUCCUAUAGAAACACAGUCAUAGAUCCUAUAGAAACACAGUCUAUAGAUCCUAUAGAAGCACAGUCUAUAGAUCCUAUAGAAACACAGUCUAUAGAUCCUAUAGAAACAGUCUAUAGAUCCUAUAGAAACACAGUCUAUAGAUCCUAUAGAAACAGUCUAUAGAUCCUAUAGAAACAGUCUAUAGAUCCUAUAGAAACAGUCUAUAGAUCCUAUAGAAACAGUCUAUAGAUCCUAUAGA
ensembl:lncRNA